AAGCGGUGGAGUAUGUGGUUAAUUCGAUGCAACGCGAAGAACCUUACCUGGUCUUGACAUCCCGGAGACCCUUAGGAAACUAGGGGUGCUUCCAUCUGGAAGAAUCUGGAGACAGGUGCUGCAUGGCUGUCGUCAGCUCGUGUCGUGAGAUGUUGGGUUAAGUCCCGCAACGAGCGCAACCCUUGCCUUUAGUUGCCAGCAGUUCGGCUGGGCACUCUAAAGGGACUGCCGGUGUUAAACCGGAGGAAGGUGGGGAUGACGUCAAGUCCUCAUGGCCUUUAUGACCAGGGCUACGACACGUACUACAAUGGCCGAUACAAAGGGCAGCGACACUGCGAGGUGAAGCCAAUCCCGUAAAAUACGGUCUCAGUCCGGAUUGGAGUCUGCAACUCGACUCCAUGAAGUUGGAAUCGCUAGUAAUCGUGGAUCAGCAUGCCACGGUGAAUACGUUCCCGGGCCUU
rnacentral:rRNA from 1 species